UACGAGGGGGGCAAGCGUUGUUCGGAUUCACUGGGCGUAAAGGGUGCGUAGGCGGUCGGGUAAGUCUGAUGUGAAAUCUCCAAGCCUAACUUGGAAACUGCAUUGGAUACUAUCCGGCUCGAGGAAUGGAGGGGAGACUGGAAUACUUGGUGUAGCAGUGAAAUGCGUAGAUAUUGCUCGGAAGGCCGGAGCCGAAGGGGCCCCACUGGUACGCAACUGACGCUGAGGCACGAAAGCGUGGGGAGCAAACAGG
rnacentral:rRNA from 1 species